rnacentral:snRNA from 1 species
AGCUUUGUGUAGUGGCAGUAUUGUAGCCAAUGACACGGAGCUGAGGCGCAAUUAUUGCUAGUUGAAAACUAGUUUCCUUUUGAAAGUACAAAAUGAUGGCACAGUAACAGCCUGUACGGCGCAGUCUGCACAGCGCACAGUUACUUUUAGCCACUAUGUCUCCAUA